GGGCGAGUGCAGCCCUCAAUCCGAACUAAGAUUGGCUUUAGGAGAUUUCCAUCCCCUUUCGGGGUAGAUACCCAUUGUACCAACCAUUGUAGCUCGCGUGUAGCCCGGGAUAUUCGGGGCAUACUGACCUACCCGUUGCCCAUUCCUUCCUCCGCUUUANCAGCGGCGGUCCCCACAGUGUACCCGUCACUCCGGAGAGUACGCUGGCAACUGUGGGCGUGGGUCUCGCUCGUUGCCUGACUUAACAGGAUGCUUCACAGUACGAACUGACGACGGCCAUGCACCACCUCUCAGCUAAUCCGGC
rnacentral:rRNA from 1 species